rnacentral:lncRNA from 10 species
CUGGCAGCCUCAUCCAACAGUUGAGAAGGGUGGAGGUGUCAAACCUGGGUCUGUGCCCCUCCACCACCAUGCUGCUGCUUCAGGAAAGAUGCCUGCUUGGCCUCAUGUGAAGACGCAGAUGCAGCACAGUGGCUAAGGACACUGGUUCUAACCCAUUCUGCCUGGAUCAUCUCAGGCUUGCUUAUUGCUGACUGCGUGGCUGAUGUGAUCCAUCUUGGAUGUUCAGCAAGCCUCUGUUGGAUGUCCUCAGCCCCUGUAUGUUAGGAGAGGGAGUACUGGUCAACGGAGAUGCUCCGAGGACUUCCAAAGUACACCUUGCCCUAGUGGGAUGGACUAGGGCAGUCCUGGAGAAGAGGCCACCUCCAGCUCUGAACUUCAUGGUACCAAUAAUGGGAUUUGGUGGCAUCCACAUCCCAAGCUCACUUGCAGCCCUUGCUGCAGUGUAUAAAGGGUAUUAUCUAGGGAAUAUUGUCAUUUACCAACC